CAACCAAGCUGAACUUAAUCCCAUCAAAAGUCUCCAGAACACAGGGAAGCCCAGGCUCCCCACCCACCAUCAUUGACUGCUGGACUUUAAGCCAAUCAAAAGCCUCAAGAGGACAGAGAAGCUCAAACCCCCAACAACCCUUCCCCAGAGACUACACCAAGAGAUCUUCUGUUAAAGCUCCAAGAGGGAAGACUGAUUGAAGUCCCUCCAAAAAACAAAAAAAAAAAUGAGAGGAACAAGAGCACAGACAAAUACAAGGAGUAAAGAAGUGGUGAAUUUGAGCAAACAAGAGAAAAAGAAGAAAGAAACUACAAUAGACAGCUACUACUCAGCAAAUGGACAGAGGGGGAGAGAUCAGCAAACGAUAAAGCAGAAAUCCCAGCGAAUUGGAUACAGGCUGUGGAAGAACUCAAAACACAACUAAGAGAGGCUGAAGACAAUUGGGAAAAGAACUUAAAAAUUAAGAUAAGUCAUCUGGAAACAGAGGCACUUGAACUAAAACAAGAAAAUAGUGUCUUGAAAGCCAAAAUCAACCAGCUGGAAAAUGAGGCAAAGUAGAUGAAAGAUGAGGUAAAGAGGAUGAAAGACUAUCUUCAAAGAAAACCAGACCAGAAGGAAAAGGAUGACCAAAAAGCCAGAGAGGAAAUCCAAUCUUUAAGAACCAGAAUACAACAAAUGGAAUUACGUGACCUCACAAUGCAGCAAGACACUAUAAAACAAAACAAAAGGAAUGAAAAAAAUUGAGGAAAAUGUGAAGCAUCUCAUUCACAAAACAGAUGAUUUAGAAAAUCGUUCAAGAAGAGACAAUUUAAGAAUAAUUGGACUACCAGAAGACCACGACAAAAGAAAAAGCCUGGACAUAAUAUUAGAGGAAAUUAUCCAGGAAAACUGUCCCAAGAUCCUAGAACAAGAGGGGAAAGUGUAGAUUGAAAGAGUCCACAGAUUACCCCCUAUAUUUAAUCCCCAACUGAAAAUACCAAGAAAUGUUAUAGCCAUAUUCAAAAACAAUCUGAUGAAAGAAAAGAUAUUACAAGCUGCCAAGAAGCCAUUCAGAUACCAUGGAAACACGGUGAGGUUAACACAGGAUCUGGCUGCAUCCACACUGAAGGACUGAAAGGCAUGGAAUACGAUAUUCUGGAAAGCAAGGGAACUAGGUCUACAACCAAGAGUAAAAUACCCAUCAAAACUGACUAUAUUCUUACAGGGGAAAGUAUGGUCAUUCAACACAACAGAAGAGUUCCAAGCAUUCAUAAAUAAAAGACCAGACCUGAACAGAAAAUUCGAUGUCCAACCACAGAACUCAAGAGAAUCAUCAAAAGGGAUUUUGGGUUGUGGAAUCCUUUAGCCUGGCCUGGAUAAUCAUCACAUAAAUCCUCAUCCUUCCAGUUACUAAUGUGUCCUCAAAGAUCAAUUAGAAGCUCUGAGUAAUGCUUAUUCACAUCUCUUAUAAUACACCUUAGGAAAAAAAAUUUCCUUCUUCAGUUUUGGACACCCUUCUUUCUCAAAAAAGUAUCUCCUCCAAAUGUUGUUUUCUCUCUAAGAAAUCCAGAUAUAUGCCAAAAAUCACACUUAAUAUGGACAUUUUUCUCUUGUUUUCUUUCAUUUCCUCUCAAAAGCAUAUCUGUGUUUGUAGGUAACAAAAAUGGUUGAAAAUAUCAAGAAAAGUCCCAGAGUUGGAUAAUGGAAAGAAGAUUAGAUCUGGAAUGAGAGGAAUUCACUUUGGAUUACAGUUUUGCUAUGCACUCUGUAUAGCAUGAGGGGGAAAAAAAGUCUUCCCUGGAUAUUAGCUUUUUUGCUGGCAAUAUAAGGAAAGCUGAACAAAAUUCCCCCUAACAUUCCUUCAAAUUCUAAAUCUGUGAUUUCACAAAUUCUAAUAACUAGCAUGUUCUCAAAGUUGCAUAAGAACAGGGAUCCUAUCUUGUCCAAACUUUAUGUAUUGCCCACGAUCUAAACAUGUCAAAUUGAAGUGAAUAUAUAAGAUACCUAUAAUAAUUUAAAUUUAUCUAGGGAUUUAAGCCUAAAUCUUGUUAUUUUAUUAAUGAGAUUGUAUAAUGGCUUUCUCAGGUUCCCUGUGAUCUGUAAUAUUUUUUCAUACCCAUGAAAAUUGGCCUUGCCUGGCUUCAAAACCCUCAUGCUAAUCCCUACUUGUGAAACUUUGGGCAAGUGACU